rnacentral:rRNA from 1 species
UACGAAGGGGGCUAGCGUUGUUCGGAUUUACUGGGCGUAAAGCGCACGUAGGCGGAUUUGUAAGUCAGGGGUGAAAUCCCGGGGCUCAACCUCGGAACGGCAUUCGAUACGGGACGGCUGGAGACCGGGAGAGGAGAGUGGAAUAGCCAGUGUAGAGGUGAAAUUCGUAGAUAUUGGCUGGAACACCGGUGGCGAAAGCGGCUCUCUGGCCCGGUUCUGACGCUGAGGCGCGAAAGCGUGGGGAGCAAACAGG